ACGAGUGUAUAUUUAAGUUGUUGCAGUUAAAAAGCUCGUAGUUGAACUUCUGUUCGUUCAGAAGGCGUGCAAACGAAUUCUGGAUGAGCAUCCGCCUGAAAAAUCAUUUGGGCCUUCACUGGUUCGAUGAUGGAUCAGGCAUUUUACUUUGAAAAAAUUAGAGUGUUCAAAGCAGGCUAUCGCCUGAAUACAUUAGCAUGGAAUAAUAGAAUAGGACGCUGUUCAAUUUGUUGGUUAUUGAAUCGCGUAAUGAUUAAUAGGGACAGUUGGGGGCAUUUGUAUUUAAUUGUCAGAGGUGAAAUUCUUGGAUUUAUUAAAGACAAACUUAUGCGAAAGCAUUUGCCAAGGAUGUUUUCAUUAA
rnacentral:rRNA from 1 species